GGACGAACGCUGGCGGCGUGCUUAACACAUGCAAGUCGAACGAAGAGCGAUGGAAGCUUGCUUCUAUCAAUCUUAGUGGCGAACGGGUGAGUAACGCGUAAUCAACCUGCCCUUCAGAGGGGGACAACAGUUGGAAACGACUGCUAAUACCGCAUACGAUCUAAUCUCGGCAUCGAGGAUAGAUGAAAGGUGGCCUCUACAUGUAAGCUAUCACUGAAGGAGGGGAUUGCGUCUGAUUAGCUAGUUGGAGGGGUAACGGCCCACCAAGGCGAUGAUCAGUAGCCGGUCUGAGAGGAUGAACGGCCACAUUGGGACUGAGACACGGCCCAGACUCCUACGGGAGGCAGCAGUGGGGAAUCUUCCGCAAUGGACGAAAGUCUGACGGAGCAACGCCGCGUGAGCGAUGACGGCCUUCGGGUUGUAAAGCUCUGUUAAUCGGGACGAAAGGACUUCUUGCGAAUAGUGAGAAGGAUUGACGGUACCGGAAUAGAAAGCCACGGCUAACUACGUG
rnacentral:rRNA from 1 species